rnacentral:rRNA from 1 species
GAUCAUGGCUCAGGACGAACGCUGGCGGCGUGCCUAAUACAUGCAAGUAGAACGCUGAAGAGAGGAGCUUGCUCUUCUUGGAUGAGUUGCGAACGGGUGAGUAACGCGUAGGUAACCUGCCUUGUAGCGGGGGAUAACUAUUGGAAACGAUAGCUAAUACCGCAUAACAAUGGAUGACCCAUGUCAUUUAUUUGAAAGGGGUCAAAUGCUCCACUACAAGAUGGACCUGCGUUGUA